AUUGAUCCCGUCGGACCCCACUGCUAUCGAGAUGGGACUAAGGUAUGCUAGUCGAACGACCAGAACUCUGUCUGGAAGUGGCACACUGCUCAGUAACACGUAGCUAACCUACCCUUAGGACGUGGAUACCCCCGAGAAAUUGGGGUUAAUCCGCGAUAGAUGUAAUGUCCUGGAAUGGUAUUACGUCUAAAGGUAUUUCAUACAUGUUUGAAAUAUGCCUAAGGAUGGGGCUGCGGCCGAUCAGGCUGUUGGUGAGGUAAUGGCUCACCAAACCUUUGACCGGUACGGGCCAUGAGAGUGGUAGCCCGGAGAUGGACACUGAGACAAGGGUCCAGGCCCUAAGGGGCGCAGCAACCGCGAAACCUCCACAAUGCACUCACGUGCGAUGGGGCUAUCUCGAGUGCCACCUGAUGAAGGUGGCUUUUUCCUUGGUCUUCAAAGCCUUGGGAAUAAGAGGGGGGCAAGACUGGUGUCAGCCGCCGCGGUAACACCAGCCCCUCGAGUGGUGGGGAUGAUUAUUUGGCCUAAAGCGUCCGUAGCCGGCCGAGCAAGUCUUCCGUUAAAUCCGGCGUCUCAAGCGUUGGACCGCGGGAGAUAGUACACGGCUGAGAGUGGGAGAGGUCAGCGGUAUUCUGGGGGUAGGGGCGAAAUCCUUUGAUCCCCGGAGGACACCAGUGGCGAAGGCUGCUGACUAGAACACGUCUGACGGUCAGGGACGAAAGCUGGGGUAGCGAACCGGAUUAGAUACCCGGGUAGUCCCAGCCGUAAACGAUGCAUGCUAGGUGUUGGGUUGGCCACGGGCCACCCCAGUGCCGCAGGGAAGCCGUUAAGCAUGCCGCCUGGGAAGUACGAUCGCAAGAUUGAAACUUAAAGGAAUUGGCGGGGGAGCACCACCAGGCGUGAAGCCUGCGGUUUAAUUGGAGUCAACGCCGGGAACCUUACCGGGAGCGACAGCAGAAUGAAGGCCAGAUUGAAGAUCUUGCCAGACGAGCUGAGAGGAGGUGCAUGGCCGUCGCCAGUUCGUGCCGUGAGGUGUUCUCUUAUGUGAGAUAACGAACGAGACCCGUGCCACAUGUUGCCACCAGUAUCUAAAGGAUAGCUGAGCACUCUUGUGGGACCGCAGCCGAUAAGGCUGGGGAAGGUACGGGCAACGGCAGGUCAGUAUGCCCCGAAUCUCCCGGGCCACACGCGGGCUGCAAUGGUACAGACAGAGGGCUGCCACCCCGAAAGGGGGAGCCAAUCCCUAAACUGUACCUCAGUUGGGAUCGAGGGUUGCAACCCACCCUCGUGAACAUGGAAUGCCUAGUAACCGCCAGUCAUCAUCUGGCGGUGAAUACGUCCCUGCUCCUUGCACACACUGCCCGUCGAACCACCCGAAUGAGGUUUGGGUGAGGAAUGGUCGAAUGUUGGCCGUUUCGAACCUGGGCCUCGUAAGGAGGGUUAAGUCGUAACAAGGUG
rnacentral:rRNA from 1 species